UCGCCUGUUUAUCAAAAACAUCGCCUCUUGAUUACCAUAAGAGGUCUAGCCUGCCCAGUGACCAAUUUAACGGCCGCGGUACCCUAACCGUGCAAAGGUAGCAUAAUCACUUGUUUCUUAAAUGGGGACUAGUAUCAAUGGCAUCACGAAGACUACACUGUCUCCCCUUUAAAAUCAAUGAAACUGAUCCCCUCGUGAAGAAGCGAGGAUAUAAAUAUAAGACGAGAAGACCCCAUGGAGCUUUAAACGAACUUCAAUUGCUCCCCUCCUUACCAUAUAAGUUGAGCACUAAUGAUAGGUAGUUUUCGGUUGGGGCGACCGCGGAGUAAAACAAAACCUCCACAAUGAAUGUAAUAAAUACUAAUAAAAGAACCACAAUUCUAAUAAUCAAAAAUUUGACAUAAAUUGACCCAAACACUUGAUCAAUGAACCAAGUUACCCUGGGGAUAACAGCGCAAUCCAUUUUAAGAGCCCUUAUCGACAAAUGGGUUUACGACCUCGAUGUUGGAUCAGGGUAUCCCAGUGGUGCAGCCGCUACUAAUGGUUCGUUUGUUCAACGAUUAAAACCCUACGUGAUCUGAGUUCAGACCGGA
rnacentral:rRNA from 1 species